rnacentral:rRNA from 1 species
CCUACGGGAGGCAGCAGUAAGGAAUAUUGGUCAAUGGAGGCAACUCUGAACCAGCCAUGCCGCGUGCAGGAAGACAGCCCUCUGGGUCGUAAACUGCUUUUAUUCGGGAAUAAACCUUAAUACGUGUAUUAAGCUGAAUGUACCGAAGGAAUAAGGAUCGGCUAACUCCGUGCCAGCAGCCGCGGUAAUACGGAGGAUCCAAGCGUUAUCCGGAUUUAUUGGGUUUAAAGGGUGCGUAGGCGGCUUAUUAAGUCAGGGGUGAAAGACGGUGGCUCAACCAUCGCAGUGCCUUUGAUACUGAUGAGCUUGAAUGAACUAGAGGUAGGCGGAAUGUGACAAGUAGCGGUGAAAUGCAUAGAUAUGUCACAGAACACCGAUUGCGAAGGCAGCUUACUAUGGUUUUAUUGACGCUGAGCACGAAGACGUGGGAGUACAACAGAUAGUAUACCUACGUAGUACGACGACCCUAACCGACUAGAAUACUACG